CGUGUACAACCCUUUUUCAAUGCACCAUGUCCCUCAUGGUGGACCUGGUGGACAUGAGGGACAUGGUGCAUUGAAAAAGGGUUGUACCUGAAA